rnacentral:rRNA from 1 species
CUGAGUUUGAUCCUGGCUCAGAACGAACGCUGGCGGCAGGCCUAACACAUGCAAGUCGAACGGAUCCUUCGGGAUUAGUGGCAGACGGGUGAGUAACGCGUGGGAAGCUACCUUGUGGUAGGGGACAACAGUUGGAAACGACUGCUAAUACCCUAUGAGCCCUAUGGGGGAAAGAUUUAUCGCCAUGAGAUGUGCCCGCGUUAGAUUAGCUAGUUGGUAAGGUAAUGGCUUACCAAGGCGACGAUCUAUAGCUGGUCUGAGAGGAUGAUCAGCCACACUGGGACUGAGACACGGCCCAGACUCCUACGGGAGGCAGCAGUGGGGAAUAUUGGACAAUGGGGGCAACCCUGAUCCAGCCAUGCCGCGUGUGUGAUGACGGCCUUAGGGUUGUAAAGCACUUUCAGCAGUGAAGAUAAUGACAUUAA